GUGUCAGCCGCCGCGGUAAUACGUAGGUGACGAGCGUUAUCCGGAAUUACUGGGCGUAAAGCGCACGCAAGCGGUCUAACAAGUCUGGCGUGAAAUCCUCUGGCUUAACCAGGGGCGGUCGCUGGAGACUGUUAAACUUGAGGCGAUGAGAGGGGUGCAGAAUUCCCGGUGUAGUGGUGGAAUGCGUAGAUAUCGGGGGGAAUACCAGUGGCGAAAGCGGCACCCUGGCGUCGUACUGACGCACAUGUGCGAAAGCGUGGGGAGCGAACGGGAUUAGAUACCCGCGUAGUCC
rnacentral:rRNA from 1 species